rnacentral:rRNA from 1 species
GACGAACGCUGGCGGCGUGCUUAACACAUGCAAGUCGAACGGAAAGGCCCUGCUUUUGUGGGGUGCUCGAGUGGCGAACGGGUGAGUAACAAGGGAGUAACCUGCCCUUGACUUUGGGAUAACUUCAGGCAACUGGGGCUAAUACCGGAUAGGAGCUCCUGCUGCAUGGUAGGGGUUGGCAAGUUUCGGCGGUUGGGGAUGGACUCGCGGCUUAUCAGCUUGUUGGUGGGGUAGUGGCUUACCAAGGCUUUGACGGGUAGCCGGCCUGAGAGGGUGACCGGCCACAAUGGGACUGAGAUACGGCCCAGACUCCUACGGGAGGCAGCAGUGGGGAAUAGUGCACAAUGGGCGGAAGCCUGAUGCAGCAACGCCGCGUGCGGGAUGACGGCCUUCGGGUUGUAAACCGCUUUCGCCUGUGACGAAGCGUGAGUGACGGUAAUGGGUAAAGAAGCACCGGCUAACUACGUG